rnacentral:rRNA from 1 species
UGAAGUCGACGABCCUUCGGGUWCGUGGCGACGGGUGCGUACGCGUGGGAACUCUGCCCUUUGCUUCGGAAUAACAGUUAGAMAUGACUGCUAAUACCGGAUGAUGUCUUCGGACCAAAGAUUUAUCGGCAAGGGAUGAGCCCGCGUAGGAUUAGGUAGUUGGUGGGGUAAAGGCCUACCAAGCCGACGAUCCUUAGCUGGUCUGAGAGGAUGAUCAGCCACACUGGGACUGAGACACGGCCCAGACUCCUACGGGAGGCAGCAGUKGGGAAUAUUGGACAAUGGGCGCAAGCUGAUCCAGCAAUGCCGCGUGAGUBAUGAAGGCCUUCGGGUCGUAAAGCUCUUUUACCAGGGAUGAUAAUGACAGUACCUGGAGAAUAAGCUCCGGCUAACUCCGUGCCAGCAGCCGCGGUAAUACGGAGGGAGCUAGCGUUGUUCGGAAUUACUGGGCGUAAAGCGCACGUAGGCGGCGACACAAGUCAGRGGUGAAAGCCCSGGGCUCAACCCCGGAACUGCCUUUGGAACUAGGUUKCUAGAAUCUUGGAGAGGUCAGUGGAGUUCCGAGUGUAGAGGKGAAAUWCGKA